rnacentral:tRNA from 1 species
GGGGUUGUGGCUCGGUGGGUGAGCACUUGCCUAGCAUGUAUGAGGUACUGGGUUCGAUUCCCAGCACUGCA